ACUCAAAGGAAUUGACGGGGAGGCGCACAAGCAGUGGAGCAUGUGGUUUAAUUCGAUACGAAGCGAAACACCUCACCAAGGUUUGACAUGUACUUGCUAAUCCCAUGAAAGUGGGACUCCUUCGAGGGUAGUACACAGAUGCUGCAUGGUUGUCGUCAGCUCGUGGCGUGAGCUGUACCGUUAAGUCGGGUAACGAGCGCAACCCGCAUCCUAUGUUAAAUAAUUCAUAGGAAACUGCCCCGGUUUUCGGGGAGGAAGGCGCGGAUGAUGUCAAAUCAGCACGGCUCUUACACCUUGGGCUACACACAUCCUACAAUGGCGAAUAACAACGAGUCGCAAGCCGGUAACGGCAAGCCAAUCUCUGAAAUUUCGCCCCAGUUCAGAUCGAGGGCUGCAAUUCGCCCUCGUGAAGUCGGAAUUGCUAGUAAUCGCGAAUCAGCAGGUCGCGGUGAAUACGUUCUCGCCUCUUGUACACACCGCCCGU
rnacentral:rRNA from 1 species